rnacentral:rRNA from 1 species
UUGAGAGUUUGAUCCUGGCUCAGAAUGAACGCUGGCGGUAUGCUUUAUACAUGCAAGUCGAACGAUUCUUCUUGAAUAGUGGCGAACGGAUGAGUAACGCGUGAGAAUUUGCCCUUAGGUGGGGGAUAACAAUUAGAAAUGAUUGCUAAUACCCCAUAGGCUGAGAAGUUAAAGAAUUUCGCCUAUGGAUAAGCUCGCGUCUGAUUAGCUAGUUGGUGGGGUAAUGGCUUACCAAGGCAACGAUCGGUAACUGGUUUGAGAGGACGACCAGUCAUACUGGGACUGAGACACGGCCCAGACUCCUACGGGAGGCAGCAGUAGGGAAUUUUCCGCAAUGGGCGAAAGCCUGACGGAGCAAUACCGCGUGGAGGAAGAAGGCUUUUGGGUUGUAAACUUCUUUUCUCAAGGAAGAAAAAAUGACGGUACUUGAGGAAUAAGCACCGGCUAACUCCGUGCCAGCAGCCGCGGUAAUACGGGGGGUGCAAGUGUUAUUCGGAAUUAUUGGGCGUAAAGCGUCUGUAGGUGGCAUAGUAAGUCCUGUGUUAAAUCUCGAAGCUUAACUUCGAAAUGGCAUAGGAAACUACUAAGCUUGAGUUCGGUAGGGGUAAAGGGAAUUCCCAGUGUAGCGGUGAAAUGCGAAGAGAUUGGGAGGAACACCAACGGCGAAAGCACUUUACUAGGCCGAAACUGACACUCAGAGACGAAAGCUAAGGUAGCGAACAGGAUUAGAUACCCUGGUAGUCCACACCGUAAACGAUGAAUGCCAGUCGUCGGGUAGCAUGCUAUUCGGUGACACACCUAACGGAUUAAGCAUUCCGCCUGGGGAGUACGGUCGCAAGAUUAAAACUCAAAGGAAUUGACGGGGGCCCGCACAAGCGGUGGAGCAUGUGGUUUAAUUCGAUGCAACGCGAAGAACCUUACCUACUCUUGACAUCCAGAAAAUUUGGCAGAGAUGCCUCAGUGCCUUCGGGAAUUCUGAGACAGGUGCUGCAUGGCUGUCGUCAGCUCGUGUCGUGAGAUGUUCGGUUAAGUCCGGCAACGAGCGCAACCCACAUCUUUAGUUGCCAGCAGUUCGGCUGGGCACUCUAAAGAAACUGCCCGUGAUAAGCGGGAGGAAGGUGUGGAUGACGUCAAGUCCUCAUGGCCCUUACGGGUUGGGCUACACACGUGCUACAAUGGCAAGUACAGUGGGUUAAUCCCCAAAACUUGUCUCAGUUCGGAUUGGGGUCUGCAACUCGACCCCAUGAAGUCGGAAUCGCUAGUAAUCGCGUAACAGCAUGACGCGGUGAAUACGUUCCCGGGCCUUGUACACACCGCCCGUCACACCAUGGGAGUGGGAUGCAAAAGAAGU